ensembl:lncRNA
UUUCAAGUUUGAAUGCCUUUAUUUCCUUGAUGCCUAUGACUAAGACAUUUUCUGGGGGAAACAUUGAACCCAUAUCCAGUAUAUAACAGGUUUCAACCAUUUCAAAAAAUAAAUAAAAACAAAAAAAACAACAGAAAUGACAUUUUCUGAGUCUAGCUGCCUAAAAAAAUCUAGAAUAAAAACGUUGUCAUACAUCCAAACUAAAACCAUGGAUGCAGUUACAUAUUUCGCCAGCACACUGUGUGAGCCACAGAUAGAAGAAUAAUGUGAGAGCCACAGAUAGAAGAAUAAUGUGAGGGUUGAUCAAAAAAUGAUGUUUCACACAUCACCCCUCGUCUCCUGUGAAUGAUCACUGUCCGACUAUCAAUGUAACUCUUCACUCUCGCUGAAUCCUCUUGGGAGAAAAGCCUUAUGUGCCUUCGCAUUCAUGCUCUUUAUCUUGAUAAACAAAAUGUAUUUAAAAAAAGGAACCGUUGGAAUAUAUUUAUUUCAGCGGAACGAAAGCGAAAGAAAACACGUCGUCCUAAUCCAUCCCAAAGAAGAAUAAACGUAAUACCUGGGUCAUCAACUUUUGAAAGAACACCAUCAGUUACAUAAAAUGGCUCUUGAACACGACCGCUCAGAUGACUGCACAACGCAAAGACAUUGAUUCAAACAACAGCGUCCAUAUGAAUCACUAUGGCAUCGAUAGAAAACGUUGCAUUAAAGUGGUGAUAUCAUGCCGCCAUUAUGCUAAUUAUGAUUCCACGUUCACGCAAUGCAAGGACCACGCAGAACCGUUGUUCACACUUCCUCAGUCCGUGAGAAACACUGUUUAGCACCUGAAUUCUUGCAUCUUCAAUACAAUUAUAGCAUUUAAAGUUUAGCAGGGAACCACAGCUUCAUUCUCUACAAAAUUCACACAGGUGAUUCAAUAUAAAUUCAUGGGUGAAAAAUGUACGUGUCAUCGUUUAUAAAAUAGUGUAAACAUUUUUUAAAGUAUCAUAAAAAAAAGCACACCUCACACUAUUUAUUAACCCUCACUUGUCUUUGCUCUGUGAGCCACAUAUAGAAGUAUAAUGUGAGGAUUGAUCAAAUAAUGAUGUUAAACACACCACUUCGCUUUCGUCUCCUGUGAAAGCUAGCAUCAGGAAGGAAUCAGACUGGUGUAUCUCCUCUAGUUUCUCAGUUUCAGUCAUCAGAUCCACUUUUAUGUUGAUCCAGAUUUUCUAGAACUGGCGUUACUUCUUCUUCUGCACGGUCACAGGGAAACUUGGGACUUUAAAGUGACCUGGUACCGAUUCGGAGCGAACAUAAGACCUGCCGGCUGACCGGGAGGUGGCUGGGGGCACCUGACUGAGGGGGGUCAACUGGGAGACUCCGUUGUCUCUCCUGAUGAGGACUGGUUUUUUGUGAGUUGAAGUCAUCAGAUUCACAUUCAGGUUGAUCCAGAUUUUGGUGAACUGGCGUUGCUUCUUCUUCUGCAACGUCAUUACCCUUCCAUAGUGAAACACGGUCGCUGGGGUCCUUGGGACUCGGGAUUUUAAAGUAACUUGAUACCGACUUGGAGCGAACAUAAGACCUGCUGGCUGACUGAGAGGUGAAGGAGCGCACCUGACUGAGGAGGGGUGGACUGGGAGGGGAGGGGGGACCCAGACUGAGGGGGGGGGACUGGGAGGGGGAAGGGGGACCCAGACUGAGGGGGAUUGACUGGGAGGCUCCAUUGUCUCUCUUGAUGAGGACAGGCUGAUGGUCCUCCUGAUGGACUGAGACUGACUCAGAUCCAUUAUGUGUGAGGCUUGAGUGAGGGGCUGCACCCAGACUCUGGUCAUCGUCUUGAUCAUCAUGCAUAGUGGCAGAAGGGAUCGUUAUGGUAUGCUCUUGUUGGUCCCUGGUUGGUUCAGGACCGUCACUAGUAGGUACUGGGAGAGAAGGCAGCAGAGAGUCAGGACAUACAGCCAGCCUCCACAUGCAGCAACACUCACUGAAGACUGAAGCCCAGUGGAGCAGCUCUGCAGCUGGGUACUCUCAGGUGGAGAUCACAACCAGACACACACAGCUAUACACAUACACAAACCACCAGAAAGGAGGAGCAAGCUACUGAAUACACUUUUAAUCAUUGCAUUAUAUAUUGUAUUGUGUUUCAACUCUGUAUUAGCCUCUACACAGAAGAACAUCUUGAC